rnacentral:misc_RNA from 1 species
GCUAUGUGUUAGGUCCUUCCUAACCCCCGUUGCAUGUCGAAAGCGAGUUCGUGCGGCGUCGACGAAGUUUCUCGGUAUCCGUUGAACUGUUCGGUUGUCCCUGUUGCCUUUCUACGUGUUUUCAUGCCUAGCGGUGCGGCUCGGCUCCUACCUGGCGUAUUUGCACUCAAGACGCAUCCCUUUAUUGGGCUGGUUGAGACGUGUUUUUCGUUGGGCGGCGCUGGGUUUAGCUAACGUGACGGCGUAUGAGUGGUAAUUGGGUUGUAUUCGACGGCAGGCUCCGUGCUUCGGCAUCGAACUGUCGGCUCGUACCCCGCUUCAUUGAUGCAUCAAGAUUCGUCUUGGGCGCAAGAUGGGUUUCUGUUUUGGCUACCUACUGCGAAGGAAUGUUGCCUCUCGUCGUCCCUUUCCUCCUCUUGCUGGCCUUGCUGGCGGGAGGACGACAUCGUGGCGGUACUCGUGUUCCGGACGACCCACACCUGUUGUGACGUAGUUUCGGUCCUCGAGUUUUCGCCCGACAUCUCGGAUGCGGAACACUAAAGGGGCGGUGGGUCUUUACGGCCUCCGAUCGUCCGCUCGAAGCCUUGUCGCUUGAUGCGCACGACUGUCGUGCUCGUUGCCAGCCGUCGACCGUCAAGGUCGUCUGUCUGGCGCGGCGCCGGCGUCGAAGAGGAAUGC